GUAUAAGACAUAAGUAACUAAUGCAAGUUUAAAUUUUAAUAUUUCAAAAACCAGCAUAUAUUUUGCUAUUAUGUUUGGAGAUUUCAAUUAUAUUUGGUAAUGUAGUUAGUUAAAAUUAUAUGUGUUAAUAUUAAUAAGAGCCAUAUAAUUACUUAACAAUUGUUCUAUACAUUUUUGUAGCAAUAAAACUGAAAAAUUAGGAGGAACAGUCUCAUCUCUUCACUUUCCAUGACAGGACCUUGGUUUCCAUACAGCUGCAUGGGGUAUGAAUAGUGUGGCAUCAGUCAGUUCUUAACUAUGAAAUUAAACUUGUUUAAUAUCAAUAUGGGUUAAAAUUAAUAGGUGUAUGCAUCCCCAUCACCCUGAAUUUGAUUAAGAGGGUUUGAGGAAGCUGUGUUUGUAAUACAACUGUCAAAUUUAUUAUGUGAACACAUCCAUUUAAAAAUAAUCAUUUUAAAUGUCUUUCAUUACUGAUAUUUCCACACGGAUGGAGCUUUGUGACUUAAAUAGCCACUGAUCCAAUACACUGUUCAUGAUUACCUUAACAUGGCACCUCUGUUCUUUUUUUUUUACUAGGAUCAGCAAUUUAUAAUCCUGAAUUGUGCUCGAGCAGUGCUCAGGGCCCACGCUUCAAAUCUACAAGUUACUUAUAUUUGCACUCUGUUUUAACUAUAUCUUUAUUAUGUAUUAGUAUUUGGACGCUAAGAUAAAAGGUUAUAAACUAAGAAUGUUAUUACCAACAGGUAUCAAAAGGCAGAAGUCACUAAAACUAUAUAUCUAUAUACUGUAUAUCCCUUGUUUUGUGCAACCCAGUUACCCAGACACAAGACAGGCAGGAGAGGACUGAGCAAACAGAUCUUUUUAUUUUAGCACUUGGAGGAACAGGACUUCAGUAUCAGAGACUUGUCUCCAUUUCUCCAUGUCGAUUUCUUGACUUUUAAAGAACCUGUAGGGAGGGGACAUGUUCAGAUGCAGUCUCCCCAGGACAAGACAGAGCAGGGCAACAGGUGAGUAAACUGUCUUUAAAGACAAUGUGCAAUAAGUGCUUUAUGUGGUGUAGUUGUAGCUUAUCCAGUAUUUGGCUGCUUGAGGCUUUGUUUCUUUUGCUUUAGAAUUCUGUAUAUAAGAGUAUUUGGGAAUCAGAGGAUGCAUUUUUUGCAUUAGAACGAUGUAUAAAAACAUUCUCCUUAAUCUUAUAAAGACUUGAAUGGCCAAGGUCCUGUUCACUUAUCUGAGCUAAUCACUACUUACAAACCAGAGUGCACAGUGAGAUCUCAAGAUGUUGGCCUAUUUAAGAUUCCAAGGAUUAAUAAAAUAACAGUGGAAGGUCGAGCUCUUAGUUACAGGGUCCUGAAGCUGUGGAAUGAUUUGCCUGCUAAUAUAAGAGGCGUCCCUUCAGUCUCAGCAUUAAAUUCCAGUGUGAAGACUCGCUACUUUAGUCUAGCAUACACUGACUAGAGCUGCUGAUUAGCUGUGCAUAGUACAAAUCUGUAUGUUAGUCAUUUAUACAAAAAUAUAAGUAUCACAGUAUUUAAAAAAAAAAUUACUACCCUUCCAUAAUUCUGUUUUCCUUUUCAGUAUCUGGAUGUGGCACUUGGUGCCACUACUUUACUGCCAGGCUGCUCUUCUGCAUAUGGAAAAGUAAUUUCAGAUAGAGGAGCAUUGGAAUCAUCAGACCAAAGGAUUCUCUCAUCAGAUUGGACAGCCAGCAUAGACUCCAAUAUGGAAAACCCAGGAGCAGGACCAAGAAGACAGUGAGCAUAGCCGGCGCUGUUUGCAGGAGGGUCCAGAGAAAGAAAAUCUUGGACACCUUGAGCAACACCUUGAAUGAGAGAAGAUGGAUGCACAUGAACCAGCAGCUCUGGAGCAAGGAUCAUAAGAUUGACAGCCAAACCAUCCAUGACAUCACAUCUGUUGACCACCCUCCUGAACCCGACUCUUCAUGCCCUGGAGCAUUGAUAACCAUCUCAGUCUCCAUCUUGAACAGUCAUUGAUAUACUCACAUCUGAGAUGACAUUCCUUGCAUUUAUUUUGUACCCUGUUGUACAAUUUUGUUAUCAUUUAUAUGGGGAAAAUGUUGGUGCACCAACCCUUUAUGUUCUCUCUGUUUUUGUUUGUUAUAAUAUGUAUACUAGCCACAGUACCUGUUGAAGACAGGUAAUAGAAUAAUUUUAAAAUAUUUGGAAUCUCUUGCUCUACAUGUAUUUUCAGCACCUUUACACUUUAUCAGCAUGUGUCUGAACCUCUUGUCACCAGCACUUCGUAUAUCGAAGGUGUUCCUGUAAAUCCUGCUUCUCAGACUUGUCGUUAUUUUCAAGGUUUAUCAUGUCCCAUCCAGUUUUAUACUUUCUGUCUUUAAAGUUGACUAUCAGUGUGUGCCUUUUCUCAUCCUCAUGUGUCUCACACUUGCACUUCUCCAUUCAUUGCGCCACCUGACCAAUCACACCAAGCCAAACUGACCAAUCAAAUUGUUGUGUGGGACUGGACACACAAGCCUUAGGUUUUAUGACAAUACUAGGGGGCUUUGCCCCCUACUUGCUUCGUUUGCUAACCCCCAGCCUGCACUAUGCGCCAGCCACUUUGCAUCUCUGCUGCUCGUGUAUGUGGAUUUCACUUUCACCAAACAACAAAUUAAUUCUCGCAGAUACGCCUCUUCAUUGGGAAGAAACACUACUUUUCCCUGAUGGCAACAUGAAUUAGAUGAUCUACAAGUCUCCGACUUAAAGUUUAAAUCCGAAUAAUAUCUACAUACUUCUGUCAUAUCACUUAUGUCCAUAUAUUCAAUCUCUUUUCGCUGUUCCGUUAUUUCACUGAGUAAUAAUUUCCGUUUGUUUGCACUAAUGCAAUAUUUACUUUCAUUUUUUUGAGACUUCCGAAUUUUAGUACUUUCAUUAUCUCUAACUGUCUCUGCAUGUGUAUUGCGCCAACGUUUUUGAACCUCUUUACAAGAUUCUACUUUGUCAUAUACUCUUUUUCUUUUAUUUCUGGCCCUUUGCAUGGUUAAAUCUCUUGGCAAAAAGUCUCAUCUCGCAGGAGCAUGAAAUUAUCUCUCUGAAAAAGUCUUGUCUUGUCCCAGGCUAAAAAGUCUCAUCUCGUCCCAUGAUUUUUUUAUAUAAUAGAGAGAUAUAUACUGUAUUAUAAUCAGUAUGCAACAGUGACAGUGUUCCCAAAAAGUAAUGCUAUAAACCUGAUUUCGAUUUAACAUCCAUGUUGAAGCCUUAGUAGCAUUAAAGUCUUGUUUGUAAAAUAACAAGACUGAAUGAGACAUGCUGGAAAAGCCACAACGGCAAUUUGUUAAGAAGUCUAUCAUUACCCAAACUGCACUCCCUCAAAGCCACACACAUUAGACUAAAAUAGGCCGUGAACUGUGAUCCUCAACAGUUUCCCAAAAUCAGUGCUUUUAAAGUUGGCUAAAAUGAAAAAUAAAACCAGAUAUAAAUUAUACAUAGAUGUGCAUUAGUGCAUUAUCCAGUGCUCAUUGUGGCUGCAAAUAAAUGCUGAGUUGAUCCCCAACUGCUUUUGUUCUAGUGAAAGAUCUGAAUCAGUCUUUUUUUGCUGCAUGCAGCAGCUACUUUGCUUGACUCUCUUAAUUUGGUCUCUACUGCUGACACAUACAAUACGUUAGAUAUAUUCUCUCACAAUGGUUCUGUUGAACUUAUUAAAAACCAAAGUACACAGUUCAGCUCUUUUUGGCUUUGGAGAUCCAGCUAAUUGCCUUAGGUCAUGUGAAAAGUUAAUAUAGCCCUCCAAGUCAGACAUCAUUAAUACUACAAGAGUCCAUGGCUUCUGCUAUAAAGUAAUUCAAAGAAGAAAAAACAAAAAGCAUUUUUUGUUUUUCUGGAAAAACCUGGAUUCAGGUCAGCAACAUUUUCUGUUAAAAUGCCAGGAAUAUGUCAAUUGUUAGGUGAAAAUGAAUAAUGGGCAAGGAAGGUUCAACUUUCACAACAUCUUACUGUGUACCUCUAUAGUCUUAUGCUGUAAUUUGAAUUCUAUUUCUCAUGCAACCAGUUUCAUUGACAUUAGGAUGACAUUAGGAUACGCAAGUUAGGGAAAAGGAUGGACAGCUGGAUAGACUCAGUAUCACUGGGAAACAUGACACAUGUAGGAACUGACAUGCCUUGCCUUGGCCUGACUUAUCAAAACCAUUUCCUCUGUUCUAAGAAAAUCAUUCAGCCUGCCAUCUGUCAUUUGUAAGAAAAUGACCCUACUUAAUCUGACUACCUGUAUCAUGACCACUAAAGCAUUGAAGGAGGGCCAUUUCAUAUCACAUUCUCUCUCAAGGCCAAGCCAAGUCUAUGAGGCAUUAUGUCAUCACUUAUUAUGGAAUGCACCAGAUAUUAAAAGGUGUAGAGCAGUCUGAAUUAUUGUGUAAAAAACAUUAACUGAAAAUGGAUUAUGAAGGACUGUGAACAACUAACUGCAUUGGAAAGACACAAGAAGGUCAGACGCAGGUGAAAAUACAUCAACUGUGUUUGAGAGGGAGCAAGAAGCAGAAAUAAAGGCUACAAGCAAAUACUUUAAAUCUGCUGCUAUAUAAAAAACAAAUGUAUUGCAAAUAGACAUAUGUUGUCAGACAACCUUAUUUCUCUCACCUCAUUGUUUUGCAUUGAAAAAAUAGUUAUAUCGAGGGUGAAAUAGAGACAGCCUGUCCUCACCAGUGGGCACUAGAGAGGAGGGCUCCUCUUUAACUCCUUCUUCAGCUGGCU